AAGAUUAUACCUUCAGGGAUCAUUUCUACAGUUUAUUCCUGGAGAAGUUUCUUUGAAUGUAUAGAGCACUAAAAAACAUAUUAUCUCCCAAGUGUAAAGCUGCCUCUUGGUGUUGGUUUACUCAAUUGCCAUUUGCCAUUAAUGAUUGUUCUUCUUUUCUUUUGGGAGAGUAAGAGACAGAGGACACAGUCUGGGU
rnacentral:snoRNA from 1 species